ACCAUCACAAAGGGGUGCUGUAAAAAGCUGAGAUUGAAUCAAUAGAUUCUAACCCUUGGAACCUGUUCGUUAGUACGAGCGUAGGGAUUGUGACGGGGACGAAA
rnacentral:ncRNA from 2 species